rnacentral:tRNA from 1 species
GACGAUAUAUUUUAUAGGAGAAGAAGGUGUGCUCUGCAAGCAUGAGGAGGAUUUAUGCCUGUCGUUG